rnacentral:rRNA from 1 species
GGGAUUGCCUUAGUAACUGCGAGUGAAGCGGCAAGAGCUCAAAUUUGAAAUCUGGCACCUUCGGUGUCCGAGUUGUAAUUUGUAGAAGCAUCUUUUGGAUUGGUCCUUGCAUAUGUUCCUUGGAACAGGACAUCAUAGAGGGUGAGAAUCCCGUUCAUGGUGGGGAAUCCAAUUCUUUGUAAAGUGCUUUCGAAGAGUCGAGUUGUUUGGGAAUGCAGCUCUAAGUGGGUGGUAAAUUCCAUCUAAAGCUAAAUAUUGGCGAGAGACCGAUAGCGAACAAGUACAGUGAUGGAAAGAUGAAAAGAACUCCGAAAGGAGAGUGAAAAAGGACGUGAAAUUGUUGAAAGGGAAGUGCUUGAGAUCAGUCUUAAGGUUUAGUGAUCAGUCUUCCUUUUGGUUGGUGCACUCACUAUUUCUUAGGCCAACAUCAGUUUUGGCGGCAGGAUAAUGACAUUGGAAUGUGGCUCUUUCGGGAGUGUUAUAGCCUUUGUUGAUACUGCCUGCUUAGACUGAGGACUGCGCUUUUGCUAGGAUGUUGGCAUAAUGAUCUUAAGCAG